GCCAGUUUGGCUCAGUGGAUAGAGCAUUGGGCUGCAGACUGAAAGGUCCCAGGUUCGAUUCCGGUCAAGGGCA
rnacentral:tRNA from 1 species